ensembl:miRNA
CAUUGGGUUGGUGCAAAAGGAUUUGUGGUUUUUGCCUGUAAAAGUAAUGGCAAAAACCGCAAUUCCUUUUGCACCAACCUAAU